rnacentral:rRNA from 1 species
GACGACCAGCCACACUGGAACUGAGAUACGGUCCAGACUCCUACGGGAGGCAGCAGUGGGGAAUAUUGCACAAUGGGCGAAAGCCUGAUGCAGCGACGCCGCGUGAGGGAUGACGGCCCUCGGGUUGUAAACCUCUUUCGGCAGGGACGAAGCGAAAGUGACGGUACCUGCAGAAGAAGUCCCGGCUAACUACGUGCCAGCAGCCGCGGUAAGACGUAGGGGACGAGCGUUGUCCGGAUUUAUUGGGCGUAAAGCGCGCGUAGGCGGCUAUGCAAGUCGGUUGUGAAAUCCCGGGGCUCAACCCCGGGACUGCGUCCGAUACUGUGUGGCUAGAGGUAGGUAGGGGAGAUCGGAAUUCCUGGUGUAGCGGUGAAAUGCGCANAUAUCANGAGGAACACCGGUGGCGAAGGCGGAUCUCUGG